ensembl:lncRNA
CAUUUACAACAUCAAAAUAUUGAGUAGAUUUUAUUUAUCUUUGAUAUUUACUGUCGUAAAAUUAUCAAGUACUUUUUAUCCUGUUUGAUCAUUUUAAUUACUUGGUUGUUUGAAGUUAUAUUACCUAAUUCAUUUAUGUAAAUGUUGCAAAUUCUCUUUUGAUAAAUAUUACCAAAUACUAUUAAUAAUCACACGGCUAAAAUACAAUUCCAUUAUUUAUUCAUAAACCUUUGUCAGGUACCUUACGUAACACCUCAUUUUAUACAGCUAUGUAGAACUGUACAUGAAACAGCAGUCAACAUUUCACAUGACAAAAAAUUAAAUUAAAUCUCAGCAGCAGUAAAUCAAUAAAGAAAAAAGUUUACCUUUACUGAGUGAUCAUUACGCUAUACAGAAAAAAAGCAUAUCACUGGAAAAUCAAAAUGUUUUUGACUCCUGGACGCAUUAAACUAAACAGGGCACAUCAGGUGACAAAACAGAUUGAGGGUUUGACCUGACAAAAUAUGCUGUACUGACAUGAACAACAUUCUAAACAACAACAUCCAUUAACAUAUUUAUAUUAGCAUUCGGUUAAAACAUUAAAGUUUGAGGACAACAUCAAAUCCUCUGUUAAAACCUUUAAAACAAAGGUUAUUUUUAACUUUUUUUUUACCUUGUGAGCAUGAAUGACAGCAGUUGCCUUUGUUGACAACAUUAGGAACAUUUAAGAAAGAAAAUUCCUUUCAGACAGCAACUUCAACUUUAAAGAUGUACUUUUGGUGACAGCUUUAUCCCAUUCAGUUCCAGGAAAAGUUUUUGAAACACCUCAAAGGUGUAGCGCAGAGUCGAGGGAUCUGUCUUCCUGCAGAAGAUACAUCAAACAUACCUGACUCAGUUUAUCCAGAUGGGGCCUCAGCCUGGUCCCCACAACACCUCCCUUGGCUUUCAUCAGGGCAGUAAGCUUUGGUGUAUAGUGGUCUAGUUUGUACAUGAAGCUUUGCUCUAGAGAAAUUGUAGUUAUUCUCCAAAACUCCUCCUUGAUCUGUAGAUCUUGAUCUGAACUGUAGAAUGGAUGAACAAUAAAAACAGCAAUAUUGCGUCAUGCAUACAUGCAGUGUAUUUGUACUUGCCUAAUCACAACGGUGCAGUAUUUGAUUAGUCACUGAACAGCCCAGCGCUCCUGACUCUCUCUGGUCACCUCAUGUCCCAGCCGGCUAAAUACAAAAACAGUCGCCUGUGAAUGAAAACACAUAUUUUUAAGGGCAACUUAUAAUUUAUAGAUUAAUUUACAGCCAUUUUCAUGUUGUGUUUGUCUCUUGACCGUGGCACGCAGCUUCAACGAUACACCGCAACGCGGCCGCCAUGCUAAAAGUUGAGAUGAUGUUU